UACAGAGGUCUCAAGCGUUGUUCGGAUUCAUUGGGCGUAAAGGGUGCGUAGGCGGCGCGGUAAGUCGGGUGUGAAAUCUCGGAGCUUAACUCCGAAACUGCAUUCGAUACUGCCGUGCUUGAGGACUGGAGAGGAGACUGGAAUUCACGGUGUAGCGGUGAAAUGCGUAGAUAUCGUAAGGAAGACCAGUGGCGAAGGCGGGUCUCUGGACAGUUCCUGACGCUGAGGCACGAAGGUCAGGGGAGCAAACGGG
rnacentral:rRNA from 1 species